rnacentral:lncRNA from 1 species
AGUUUUGUUUCAUCAUUAGUUCAUGCCCAUAGUGAUCCACAGUGAGAAAGAAGGAUGACUCAAUCAAUCAGAGUCCUGACAAUUUUCAUUUAUGAAUGAAUGUGAGGUACAAAGGCAUUUCACUUACUGUUUAACUUUGACCAGUGGAAUCCUUCUAGUGAGAACUUCAUUAUUAUUUUCAGGUACUCUGAUGAGAAUCUUUUGUAGAUGGUCAAAAUGAUGGCCAAAUUUUCUUCAAGAUUAAUUUUUGUGUCUCUUUGAAUUCAACAAGGAUCAGAGACAUGGAAUCACCCUUGACAUGGUCUGUCAGCUAUUGAUCACUUCAAAACUCUGUUUUUAUGCUUGAAUAAAAUUGAUAGAUAAACUAAUCAGGAAUGUGUUGAUUUAUCUACUUCAUUGAUAAACUUAAAGUUAACAGGCUAAUUAGCAUUCAGCAACCAUUUGCUCUGUUCUUAUAUACUCACAUUUGUUGCUUUUGUUGUAGUAUAUGCUGGUGGUGCUUUGGCUGGAAACUGUAUUCCAUGGAACAAAGAAUGAGAUGGUCUGUGUGCAUGAGGUUUUCAAACUGUAGGGUUUCUGAGGAAAAAGAGAAGGGAUGAUUGAGUAGACUGUAAGCAAAUCUGCUGCAUUGAAGCUUCUUGGCCUCUGGAAUAUGUAUAUUUCUUGUGAGAUGGUCACUAGAACAAAGUGACCUAUUGGGUUGCACACCACCAGUAUGAACUGUGUGUCAUUAAUGGCCAAGUUUUACCAUCACAGCUCCAAAUAUAGCAUAUAAAAUACUCACAUGAAGACUUUUAAGGCACACACAUCACUAUUUAAAGUCACAGUUUCAUGACUGAACACAUGCAUACAGUGCUUGUUGGGAAAUAAUAGUUGGAUUUGAAGCCACAAAUUUUACCUUUGCUUUAUCCUUAGUUAUAUAAUCCUAAUAUAAUAAGCUAUGAACACUGCAGCCAUUGCAUCCAAAAUCUGAAAAUUGCAUCCUACAAAUUCUUGGCAUGUUAGAGAGACAAUCCAUCUGCUCUACAAUGUUGUCAAUGGAUUGA